rnacentral:misc_RNA from 1 species
AAGUCGUAACAAGGUUUCCGUAGGUGAACCUGCGGAAGGAUCAUUAACACGUUAUCCACGUAUCUACCUCUUGCGAACUUUUUACUGUUCAGGAGUCGGCAGACCAGCGUAGAUAAUGGAGGUAGAUGUUACUAUGUCCAGUGGCCGACACCCUGGUUCUACCUGCCUAGCUAACCCCGCCAUCCCCUUCGUUUUUUUUUUAAAUGUGGUGUAAGAAAAAAAAGUAGCGUGUUGGGUGUGGGCUUAGGUAUUCUGGUUCAUAUGACUCGAAUCAUAGUAGUUUUUUUAAUCUUAUUAACCCUUUUUUACUUAAUUUGUUGAAUUGUGAUGGUCCCUGGAGGUAACACUUCGGGUGGCUCACGUUAAUAAAACACUAUACAACUCUUAGCAACGGAUAUCUCGGUUCU